AGUCGCGGCCUAGUGGAUAGGGUGAUUGACUGGAGGUCAAAAGGUCGCUGGUUCAAUCUCCAGCUCCACUA
rnacentral:tRNA from 1 species